CCGCUCGUUGUGUAGGGAUAACACGCCCUAUCUAGUAAACAGGAAGUCGUGAGUUCGAGUCUCACCGAGAAGU
rnacentral:tRNA from 1 species